rnacentral:rRNA from 1 species
GUACCCGCUGAACUUAAGCAUAUUAGUCAGCGGAGGAAAAGAAACCAACAGGGAUUGCCUUAGUAACAGCGAGUGAAGCGGCAGCAAAGCUCAGAUUUGAAAUCCAAAUUCUAGAUUUGGAAGUGUAGUCUGCGGAAAGUACCCAGGUUUAAUCACUGAGAUCCCAAAUUCUUUGGAAUAGGAUCCGCCAUGGAGGGUAAGAGUCCCGUACGGUAAACUCAGUGAACCUACAUUGGUACUUUUCAGAGAGUCACGUAGCUUGGGAAUGCUGCGCAAAGAGGGAGGUAUACACCUUCCAAAGCUAAAUAGUGGCUGGAGACCGAUAGCGAACAAGUAGAGUGAUUGAAAGAUGAAAAGAACCUUGGAAAGGGGACGAAAUAGUUCGUGAAAUUGUUGAAAGGGAAGCGCCUGUAGUUAAACCUGUGCUUGUGGCACCGUUAUUCUUAGAGUAUCUAUUAUCUCACAUGCAUGGGGCCAUCAUUAGUCUGGUGUCUGGGUUCAAAAGGUGAUAGGAAUGUGGCUUUUCCUUUCAGGAUAAGCGUUAUAGCCUGUCAUGUAAUGCCUCGGAACAGGCUAAGGAAUGCGUCAAUAUUUCUUAGACAGUAUUUAUUUGCAUGGAUGAUGGUUUAAUGGCUACCGGCGGCCCGUCUUGAAACACGGACCAAGGAGUUGUCCUCGCAUGCGAGUGUUUGGGUGACAAACCCUUACGCGAAAUGAAAGUGAACGUAGGUGGGAGCUGACGGCGUACCACCGACCGAUCCUGAUGUUAAUCGGAUGGAUUUGAGUAAGAGCAUGUGGGGCCUGACCCGAAAGAGGGUGAACUAUGCGUAUCUAGGUCGAAGCCGGGGGAAACCCCGGUGGAGGGCCGCAGCGGUUCUGACGUGCAAAUCGAUCGUCAAAGAUGCGCAUGGGGGCGAAAGACUAAUCGAACCUUCUAGUAGCUGGUUUCUGCCGAAGUUUCCCUCAGGAUAGCAGUGUCGAAACUCAGUUUUAUGAGGUAAAGCGAAUGAUUAGGGACUCGGGGGCCGUAUUUAGCCUUCAUCCAUUCUCAAACUUUAAAUAUGUAAGAAGUCCUUGUUACUUUAGUGAACAUGGGUUCUCGAAUGAAACGACACUAGUGGGCCAUUUUUGGUAAGCAGAACUGGCG